rnacentral:tRNA from 1 species
CGGGAUGUAGCGCAGUCCGGUAGCGCACCUGCUUUGGGAGCAGGGGGUCCCAGGUUCAAAUCCUGGUAUCCCGACCA